rnacentral:tRNA from 1 species
GGAGGGAUCGCAUAGUGGCCUAGUGCGGGCGCCUGCUAAGCGCUUGCCCUGAGUAAUCAGGGUCGAGAGUUCGAAUCUCUCUCCCUCCGCCA